AGUUUUUGACUGCCCAGGUGUGUCCAUAUUUUCCUCGUGUGUUUAUGUAGGACCAUGCAUGCAAUAAUUCAAAAUAUGCCUGAAGAGCACUUGUAUGUAUUAAGUGCAAAUGAUGGGAAAGAGGACACAAGUAGAUCUUCUCUCCCUCCUGUAUUGUUGUUACUGGGAGAGUUCUUUACUUUCUAAUGGACAUGUUAGAUGUGUGGACCUGUUUCUAGAUAAGUGGAGUAACACACACAAACACAUUGAUUAUUGAAUGGUCAACUUCUAAUUUUAUUUGGUGUUCUGUUUAUUUUGUAUGGAUAGUAGUGGCACUACCGAGAUAAAAUUGGCAUUCAUGUCCUGGUGAUGCAAUUGAUACACCCUGAUGCUUGUAUGGGAUACCCUUUUUUACUUAAUUUUGAUUAUUCUUUUAUCGACUUUAAAAAUAAUGUUUCUUCAUUUUAGCUGCGUAGACCUUUUUGUCCAAAAUAAUGUUAGUUUUUCCAUUUAUUUACUUUUAACUUGUAAUGCCUAGACUAAACAUAAAAAUGGAGAAGAUGUCCCAGCAAUGAGUAUGCAACUUGUUGCUAGAGUAAAAAUAUAGCUCCAUUGUUCAACCUCCUGCCUUAUUAAGCAUAAUGUCCUAGUCAUGGGGCCUAUUUGUUGCCUAAGCCUCAUACUUGUUGGUAGCUUUACCAUGGGUGGCUUACCUUAUUUAUGCAACUCUUUCUUUGUCAUGAUCACCAUCAUGCAGAAUACAAAUUAUGGUAGAAGUCAUUACCUUUUUGUGACUGAGACUUCAUUUUGAAUCUUACCCAAUAGCACAAGUAUGUGAAAAUGAAGACAUCAAGGUUUCUUUACAGAUUAUCCCAAAAAUAAAUAAAAAAAGGGGUGUCUACCAGUAUCAUACCUCAAUAUUUUUUCCUGAUCUCAUUUCUUUUGGAUACUAUAUAAAAUUCAUACAAUAGAGAUUGCUAAUUUUCAUAAUGGCGUUAGUCUUAAAGGUAAUGAUUCAUCUAUAUUCUUAUGAAAAAGCUUGAGAAUGAAUCUAAAGAUUCCUAAAUUCAUUGUUUUAUCCCUUUUGUUUAGACUUUUAUGAUAUGCAACACAUGCUUUGACAUGUAAUAUUUGAUAAUGAUGCUUCAAGAUCAAGGCUUGCUGUUGUAAUUUUUUAUAUAUUUCUUUUAGUUGGUAAUGGUGUUAUGGAACUUAUGUCCAUCAUAUUCAU
rnacentral:misc_RNA from 1 species